rnacentral:rRNA from 1 species
UACGUAGGGUGCGAGCGUUUGUCCGGAAUUACUGGGCGUAAAGAGCUCGUAGGUGGUUUGUCGCGUUGUCCGUGAAAACUCACAACUCAAUUGUGGGCGUGCGGGCGAUACGGGCAGACUGGAGUACUGCAGGGGAGACUGGAAUUCCUGGUGUAGCGGUGGAAUGCGCAGAUAUCAGGAGGACACCGGUGGCGAAGGCGGGAUCUCUGGGCAGUAACUGACGCUGAGGAGCGAAAGCGUGGGGAGCGAACAGG